rnacentral:lncRNA from 1 species
UUACUGUCUCCCCCUUUUCCCCAGACUCGCUUUCUUCAUCUUUUUCCCAAAAAAAUAUAUCUAUCUCCCUCCCUCCCUCUCAAAAUCGCUCAUUAAAGUCGGGUUCAAUCUGAAGCUUCAAAUGUACCGGUUCAAUCUCGAUUAGGGUUCUAAACUUCAGUUGGAUCUCGAUUGGGCUUCGAUUAGGGUUCAAUUUGAAGCUUCGAAUUUACAGGUAUCUCUCUCCCUCACUUACUCUAUAUAUAUUUGUGUAUGUAUAUGUUUUUAAACUAGUUCCAUUUUGAUUUGGUUGUAAUGAGGCCAAGAGCGGAGUGAGCGGAGUAGGAGUAGCCUCGAUGGGGUGAUGAGGCCAGAUCUGGAGAUUUCCUUAUUAUAUUUGUGUAUAUGUAAUGUUUGUGAUGCUCGGAUUAUUUAUGUUUUGUUAAGUGUUGGCAUUUAGUAGUAGGGAUGUAUAUUUUGGAUGUUGAUAUUGGAAUAUAAGGAAAUCUCUAUAUUCAAACCGUACCUUUCAAUUUGAUAAUUUAAAAAUUAUUGAUGUAGCUAUAAAAUGUGCUGUG